rnacentral:rRNA from 1 species
UAGGGAAUCUUCCGCAAUGGACGAAAGUCUGACGGAGCAACGCCGCGUGAGUGAAGAAGGAUUUCGGUUCGUAAAACUCUGUUGUUAGGGAAGAAAAAAUGUAUAGUAACUAUAUACAAAAGAGACGGUACCUAACCAGAAAGCCACGGCUAACUACGUGCCAGCAGCCGCGGUAAUACGUAGGUGGCAAGCGUUGUCCGGAUUUACUGGGCGUAAAGCGCACGUAGGCGGACUUUUAAGUCAGGGGUGAAAUCCCGGGGCUCAACCCCGGAACUGCCUUUGAUACUGGAAGUCUUGAGUAUGGUAGAGGUGAGUGGAAUUCCGAGUGUAGAGGUGAAAUUCGUAGAUAUUCGGAGGAACACCAGUGGCGAAGGCGGCUCACUGGACCAUUACUGACGCUGAGGUGCGAAAGCGUGGGGAGCAAACAGG